rnacentral:rRNA from 1 species
UACGAAGGGGGCUAGCGUUGCUCGGAAUCACUGGGCGUAAAGGGCGCGUAGGCGGCCGCUCAAGUCGGGGGUGAAAGCCUGUGGCUUAACCACAGAAUUGCCUUCGAUACUGUUUGGCUUGAGACCGGAAGAGGUGAGUGGAACUGCGAGUGUAGAGGUGAAAUUCGUAGAUAUUCGCAAGAACACCAGUGGCGAAGGCGGCUCACUGGUCCGGUUCUGACGCUGAGACGCGAAAGCGUGGGGAGCAAACAGG